rnacentral:rRNA from 2 species
CAGUCGAGCGGAUUUUCUGGAGCUUGCUUCGGAAAGUUAGCGGCGGACGGGUGAGUAACACGUGGGCAAUCUGCCCGUAAGACUGGGAUAACUCCGGGAAACCGGGGCUAAUACCGGAUAACCCUGACUCUCUCCUGAGAGUCAGUUGAAAGAUGGUUUCGGCUAUCACUUACGGAUGAGCCCGCGGCGCAUUAGCUAGUUGGUGAGGUAACGGCUCACCAAGGCGACGAUGCGUAGCCGACCUGAGAGGGUGAUCGGCCACACUGGGACUGAGACACGGCCCAGACUCCUACGGGAGGCAGCAGUAGGGAAUCUUCCGCAAUGGACGAAAGUCUGACGGAGCAACGCCGCGUGAGUGAAGAAGGUUUUCGGAUCGUAAAACUCUGUUGUCAGGGAAGAACACGUACGAGAGUAACUGCUCGUACCUUGACGGUACCUGACCAGAAAGCCACGGCUAACUACGUGCCAGCAGCCGCGGUAAUACGU